GCAAAGAAGAACUAUAAGAACAAUUACAUAUAUAUAAUUAAGCUAAACAUAUAAAAACAAACUUAUAAUUUCAACCAACUGAAUACAAAUUUAACUCAAACAAACAAGAUAAUGGAUUAUACUAAUUAAUUUUCAGAAUCCAGCUAGCUAGCUAGGUACUUGAAACUAAAUUAAAAUCAAAUUGAAACAUAGGAGGUAGAGUUUGCAAUGCAAGCAAGGAAGAAAAUAGCAGAAGAAGCACCAUCUUCUUGAAGAUUAUAAAUGCUUCUUUUGAACUUGCUGGUUUUUCCUUUGUUGCAUUGAACUAUCUGCUUUUGCUGAUGUUGCUGAUAAGUUUCUUUGGCCUUGUUCACUUCCUGCUGCUGCUGUUUCUUUUUCAUGGCUUCUUCAACUCGAGACACCAUUUUACUUAGAUUAGAUAUAGAUAGAAAGGGUAUUUUGAGAGAGAGAAUAUUGUUCAUGAGAAUAUCG
rnacentral:lncRNA from 1 species